UAGGUGGGAGGCUUUGAAGCGUGGACGCCAGUCUGCGUGGAGCCGACCUUGAAAUACCACCCUUUAAUGUUUGAUGUUCUAACGUGGAUCCGUAAUCCGGGUUGCGGACAGUGUCUGGUGGGUAGUUUGACUGGGGCGGUCUCCUCCUAAAGAGUAACGGAGGAGCACGAAGGUUGGCUAAUCCUGGUCGGACAUCAGGAGGUUAGUGCAAUGGCAUAAGCCAGCUUGACUGCGAGCGUGACGGCGCGAGCAGGUGCGAAAGCAGGUCAUAGUGAUCCGGUGGUUCUGAAUGGAAGGGCCAUCGCUCAACGGAUAAAAGGUACUCCGGGGAUAACAGGCUGAUACCGCCCAAGAGUUCAUAUCGACGGCGGUGUUUGGCACCUCGAUGUCGGCUCAUCACAUCCUGGGGCUGAAGUAGGUCCCAAGGGUAUGGCUGUUCGCCAUUUAAAGUGGUACGCGAGCUGGGUUUAGAACGUCGUGAGACAGUUCGGUCCCUAUCUGCCGUGGGCGCUGGAGAACUGAGGGGGGCUGCUCCUAGUACGAGAGGACCGGAGUGGACGCAUCACUGGUGUUCGGGUUGUCAUGCCAAUGGCACUGCCCGGUAGCUAAAUGCGGAAGAGAUAAGUGCUGAAAGCAUCUAAGCACGAAACUUGCCCCGAGAUGAGUUCUCCCUGAGACUUA
rnacentral:rRNA from 1 species